CCCACACCUAGGAUCAGACACAGAUUCUGAGCUCUGAGGCCUGCAACCCCAGUUUGCACUUGAACUAUGAGACCAGUGAUAGGAAUCACUCUUUUCCUCACUUUGGGUAUUAUGGGAGAUGCUAAGUCCACACAGCCAGAUGCAGUGGAGAGUACUGAAGAAGGAACAGUGCAUCUGCCCUGUAACCACUCCACAAUCAGUACAAAUGAGUACAUAUAUUGGUAUCGACAGAUUCCCCACCAGGGUCCAGAGUAUGUGAUUCGUGGUUUAAAAGGCAAUGUGACCGAACGGAUGGCCUUUCUCUACAUCACAGCAGACAGAAAGUCCAGUACCUUGAUCCUGCCCCAGGUUACCCUGAGAGACUCUGCUGUGUACUACUGCAUCGUGAGAGACCCACAGUGGAAACCAUGGGGCUGCACCUGUGCAAUAUCUCCCUGGAGGGAAGGGGAGCAGCUGUGGCAUCUGAAGAGGCCACUGUACCAGAAACAGCAGCAGAAGAAGUGA